CCUUGAGCCAUUAUGUAAAUAUCUUCACAUCAAUAAGAGAUUACUUAAAUUAUUCACAAGUAAAUCUAUGUUUCUUAACUACAGCAGGUAGCAGCAUUAUACAAAUAUCUUUAUACCAGUAAUAAUUUAUUUACAUUAUUCAUGAACAGAUCUAUGCUUCUUAAUAUUCAACAGUUAGACGACCAGACACAACAAUGGUUUCUUUAGAAUUUAGUCCAAGAACAAAGAGGUGCUUGGGAUCACAGAUCAGAAGCUUUCAAUUUGACGGAAAAUGGAACAAUAUUAACAAGGCUGGCUGUUUAGUGGUUUAGAAGUUCACUUCCUAUCCACAUGGUUCUGGGUUCAGUCCCACUGCAUGGCACCUCAGGCAAGUGCUUUCUGUUCAAGCCUCAGGCUGACCAAAACUGUGUGAAUGGAUUUGGUAGGCAAAAACUGAAUGAAGCCUGAUGUGUGAAUGUGUGUGUGUAUAUAUACACACACGUAUGUGGGUGUAUACAUACAUACAUACAUACAUACAUACAUACGUAUAUAUAUGUGUGUGUGUGUGUGUGUGUGGAUAGACUGAUAGAUAACACAAGCUUCGAAACAGUUUCCACCUAUCAAAUUCACUGAUAAGAUAGUGACCAGCCAGGGCUAAAGUAGAAGAUACUUAACCAAGUGGUUGUGCAAUGGAAUCGAACCUGAAACUCUGUGGAUGCAAAGCCUAUAUGAUAAAUAUAACCGUUUUCUUUAUUGAUAUUUAAAUAAAAAUUUACUCAGGAAUAUGAAA